UCACACCAUGGGAGUGGGUUGCAAAAGAAGUAGGUAGCUUAACCUUCGGGAGGGCGCUUACCACUUUGUGAUUCAUGACUGGGGUGAAGUCGUAACAAGGUAACCGUAGGGGAACCUGCGGUUGGAUCACCUCCUUA
rnacentral:rRNA from 1 species